UUUUUUUUUUUUUUUUUUUUUUUUUUUAGUGCUGCACCUUCAGCAUAGGAAUGUUCCCAGGCUAGGGGUCAAAUUGGAGCUACAGCUGCUGGCCUACCCUACAGCCCAGCAACACCAGAUCUGAGCUGCAUCUGCGACAUAUAUCACAGAUUGCACAAUGCUGGAUCCUUUAACACACUGAGUGAGACCAGGGUUCGAACCCACAACCUCAUGGAUACUAGGUGGGUUUGUUUCUGCUGAGCCACAACAGGAACGCCAAGACAGAAAACUUUUAGACAGUAAGGAUCUCCUCCACUCCAUCCAGCCCCACCUCCACCAGAAUCAGCAAAAGGCUGAGUGAGGAGCCUAGUUCUCCACCCUCCUCUGGCUGAAAGGAGGUGUCCCAAGCCAGGAUGGUAUUGGACAAGGUCCAGUGGGGAACCUGGGUUUUCAUGCCAGCCAGGCAGGAAGGAGGCUCUCCUGCACCCCCACAGGAGUGGCAUCAGAGAAGGUGUGGGACCACUCUUUGCAGUGAUAAAGAACCCCAGCCCCUCCACCAAGGCAGUAUCAGCAGAGGCCUAGGAGGAGCCUGAGCUUCCAUGUCCACUCAGCAGCAACAAAGCAGCCUUCCCCCCAACCCAGGAUGUCCGUAGCAGCCAAGUGGAGAACUUGGACUUCCACCCACACCUGGUCGUAAGGAGGAAGAAAUCCCCCUUCCUUUGCUGGAGGUGUCAGUGGGGGCAGACAUAAUAAGAAUAUUAAUCUAAGACCAGAGUCUCAUGACAAUACCAAAAAAAUCCAGAAAACAGUUGAAAAUUACGCAUCACACCAAGAACCAGGAAAAUGCAAGUUGGAUGAGAAAAAACAAUGGAGAGGUGCCAAUAUCAAGAUGAUAAAGAUAUCAGAAUACUGUAAGAUUUUGAAGCAGGAGUUCCCAUCGUGGCACAGUGGAAACAAAUCCAACUAGGAACCAUGAGGUUGCAGGUUUGAUCCCUGGCCUCGCUCAGUGGGUUAAGAAUCCAGCAUUUCCAUGAACUGUGGUGUAGGUUGCAGACAAGGCUUGGAUCCUGCAUUGCUGCGGCUGUGGUGUAAGCUGGCAGCUACAGCUCCGAUUCACCCCCUAGCCUGGGAACCUCCAUAUGCCAUGGGAAGCGGCCCUAGAAAAGGCAAAAAGACAAAAAGAUAAAAAGACCAAAAAAAAAGAUUUUGAAGCAGCUAUCAGAAAAAUGUUCAAAAAGCAAUUAUGAACACAUUUGAAACAAAUGAAAAAAUACAAAGUCUCAGCAAAGAAAUAGAAAAUCUCAACCAAGGAAUGGAAGAUACAGAGAAGAACCAAAUGGAAAUUUUAAAACUGAAGAAAAUAAUCAAAUUCAACAAGCAAAAUCAAUGAUGGGCUCACAGCAGAAUGGAAUGGAUAGAAGAAAGAAUCUGUGAACUUGAAAGCAGAGCUACAGAAACUAUGUAAUCUGAACAACAGAGAGAAAAUAGGCUACACACACACACACACACACACACACACACACACACACACACACACACACAAAGGAACGGGCCUUCUUGCUAUAGCUCAGUGGGUUACAAACCCAACUAGUAUCUGGGAGGACAUGGAAUCUAUCCCUAGCCUCACUCAGUGGGUUAAGGAUCUGGUAUUGCUGUGGCUGUGGUGUAAGCCGGCAGCUGCAGCUCCCAUUCAACCCGUAGCCUGGGAACUUCGCAUAUGCCGCAGGUGUGACCAUAGAAAAGAAGAAGAAGAAGUAAAAAAAAAGGAACAGAGCCUCAGGCAUCUGUGGGACAAUAACAAAACACCCACCACUCUUGCCAUCAGAAUUCAGGAAAGAGAGAAGAAAGAGGAUGGAGUUAAAAAAGUAUUUGAAAAAAAUAAUGGCUUAAAACAUCUCCAAUUUGGCAAAUAACCUAGAGAUUCAAGAAACUGAGUAAAUACCAAAGAGGAGGAACCCAAAGAAGUCCAUUCCAAGACAUACCACAGGAAAACUUUGAAAAUACAGAAAUGGAAAAAAAAAAUCUUGAAAGCAGUGAGAGAGACACAACACCCUGUGUUCUGUAUAUUUUAACACAAAAAAAUUGAUUGUUUAACUAAUGUUUAAAAGCUAGUUCUUUGAAAAGAUCUAUAAAAUUGGCAAACUUCUAGCAAGACUGACAAAGAAGAAUGAGAGAGAAAACACACAUCACCAGUAUCAGGAAUGAAACAGUGUCUGCAGCGGUUAAAAGGUUCAUAAAGGGAGUUCCUGUCAGGACGCAGCGGAAACGAAUCCGCCUAGGAACGAUGAGGUUGCGGAUUCGACCCCCAGACCUGCUGAGUGGGUUAAGGAUCCAGUGUUGCCAUGAGCCGUGGUGUAGGUUGCAGACGUGGCUUGGAUCUGGUGUGGCUGUGGCUGUGGCUGUGGCUGUGGUGUAGGCAGGUGGCUACAGCUCCAAUUGGACCCCUAGCCUGGGAACCUCCAUAUGCCAUGGGAGCUGCCCAAAAAAUGACAAAAAGACGAAAAAAGAAGAAGAAGAAGAAGAAAAAGUUGUAAAAUGGGGGUGGGGAGGCACUUGGGCUGAUGCCUACCAUCACAGCAUAGCCCCAAGGGCCAAUAUGUUCCUAUGUUCCAUCAGGCUGGCUGAAAACAGCCCAAAUGUGCAUCAACUAAUGAACAGGACAACAAAUUGUGGUAUGUCUAUGCAAUGGAAUAUUAUUCAGCCAUAAAAAGAAUGGGGUACUGAUAAGUGCUACAAUACACAUAAACCUUGAAAAUAGGAUGCUGCCAAUCACAAAACAUCACAGAUUAUAAGAUCUCGUUUGUAUGAAAUAACCAGCAUCAGUAAAUCACAGAAAAAGAAUGCAAGAGUGCCCUGGUGGCUCAGAGGGUUAAGGAUCUGACAUUGUCACUGCUGUGGCUCAGGUCACUGAUGUGUCAUGGAUUCUAUCCCUGGCCCAGGAACUUCCUCAUGCUAUGGGCACAGCCAAAAGAAAAGAAAAGAAAGGGAAAGGGAAAAAAA
rnacentral:lncRNA from 1 species